AGAGUUUGAUCCUGGCUCAGGAUGAACGCUAGCGGCAGGCCUAAUACAUGCAAGUCGGACGGGAUUGAGGAGCUUGCUUCUCAUGAGAGUGGCGCACGGGUGCGUAACACGUAUGUAACCUACCUUCAUCAGGGGGAUAGCCUCUCGAAAGAGAGAUUAACACCGCAUAAAAUCACAGUGCAGCAUUGCAUAAUGAUCAAAUAUUUAUAGGAUGAAGAUGGGCAUGCGGGACAUUAGCUAGUUGGUGUGGGUAACGGCCCACCAAGGCGACGAUGUCUAGGGGAUCUGAGAGGAUGACCCCCCACACUGGUACUGAGACACGGACCAGACUCCUACGGGAGGCAGCAGUAAGGAAUAUUGGUCAAUGGAGGCAACUCUGAACCAGCCAUGCCGCGUGCAGGAAGACGGCCCUACGGGUUGUAAACUGCUUUUGUACCGGAAUAAACCUUUGGUCGUGACCGAAGCUGAAUGUACGGUAAGAAUAAGGAUCGGCUAACUCCGUGCCAGCAGCCGCGGUAAUACGGAGGAUCCAAGCGUUAUCCGGAUUUAUUGGGUUUAAAGGGUGCGUAGGUGGCCUAUUAAGUCAGGGGUGAAAGACGGUAGCUUAACUAUCGCAGUGCCUUUGAUACUGAUGGGCUUGAAUACAGUUGAAGUAGGCGGAAUGUGACGAGUAGCGGUGAAAUGCAUAGAUAUGUCACAGAACACCGAUGGCGAAGGCAGCUUACUAAAGUGUGAUUGACACUGAGGCACGAAAGCGUGGGGAUCAAACAGGAUUAGAUACCCUGGUAGUCCACGCCCUAAACGAUGAAUGCUCAAUGUUGGAGAGUUUCCGCCCUUUACUGAUGCAACGCAUUCAUUAUUCCCUCUGGCGGGGAAGCCCGGUCGGGUGAAUGUCACUCGAAUUGAUUGAGGGCCACCCGCACGGACGAGGGAGUGUGUGAAUUAAAUGAAACCCGCGGAAACAUACUUAGCCUUGCUUGACAUCGUCUGAUUCUUAUACAAAUCAGACGUUCCCUUCGGGAACCUAGGGGCUGGUGGGGUGUGGUCGUCUCCAGCUCGGGGGUGGUGAUGUAGGUCUAGCUCCCAGAGCGACCGCAAUCUUUGAUUGUAGUUGCCUGCAGUCGGGUAGUCUCUCUAAAGUGACUGCCGGUGACGAGACGAAGGAAGGUACGAAUGACGGUCAAUCAUCACGUUACUUAUGACGCGAGCUACACGCUUGCUGGAUGGAUGGUACG
rnacentral:rRNA from 1 species